rnacentral:rRNA from 1 species
AUACGUAGGGGGCGAGCGUUGUCCGGAAUGAUUGGGCGUAAAGGGCGCGUAGGCGGCCCGGUAAGUCUGGAGUGAAAGUCCUGUUUUUAAGAUGGGAGUUGCUUUGGAUACUGUCGGGCUUGAGUGCAGGAGAGGUAAGUGGAAUUCCCAGUGUAGCGGUGAAAUGCGUAGAGAUUGGGAGGAACACCAGUGGCGAAGGCGACUUACUGGACUGUAACUGACGCUGAGGCGCGAAAGUGUGGGGAGCAAACAGGAUUAGAUACCCUGGUAGUCCACACUGUAAACGAUGAAUGCUAGGUGUAGGGGGUAUCGACCCCUUCUGUGCCGCAGUCAACACAAUAAGCAUUCCGCCUGGGGAGUACGGCCGCAAGGUUGAAACUCAAAUGAAUUGGCGGGG